CUGAGAAUCCAUCCACGGGGCAGGAAAGGGGUGUCAGAACAGAGAGGGAUGUCAGCGUGCAGAGGACAGGGUGGUCUCCUGCUGCGUCCCGGGUGCCCUGCUCUCCGGUGCCCGGCUCUGUGUUCUCCCGCCACCAGGCACUCAUCUAAGCCCCUGACAAAUCUUUGUGCGUCCAAUGCUCUUACAGCCCAUUGAGGUAUGUAUCGUAUUUCCACUUGACCGAGAAGGAAAUCCAGACCGGGAAAGGUUGAGUAAGGCACCCAAGAACACACGUCCAUUAUGAAGCAGUGCGACUAUUUGAACCCAAAAGUUCUGGCUCCAGGACCACCCCUGGUAACCAUUGGGCUACGCUGCCUCCUUCACCAAGUGGAGCAAAUGCAACCAAAAUCACAAAAAAGGCCCUCUGUGUUUAAUACCUCACUAAUUUUAUCAUCAUCACCACCGCCAGCAUCAAUUCUAAAUCCCCACCAAACCUGUCCUGUACACCAACACGCUUUGCACCAUUUGUAUCACAGAAAUGACGACUUUUCCAAAUAAUAGUGCCGAGAAUAGCAGUUACCAUUUAUUGAGUGCCUAAUACGGACUGUACUAAACCGUCUCCUAAUCCCAUUUAAUCCUCUCAGCAAACCUGUGAGAGUUACUUCUUUCACAGAUAAGACAGCUGCAGUUAGGAGAGAGUAAAUUAUCCGUGGCUCGCAAGGAAAAGAUUUGUGUCCACAUCUUUCAGACGCGGUGCCUGGCCCUUGCCGUUGGGAGCAUCAGGCCUCCCCGAAAGGCUUCCGUCUCGAGUACAGAGUCGGGCUGAUGGACUUAGCCUGGGCAAGAGGAAAUUCCCCCAGGGCACCAUGGCAAUUGGUGACACUCUCUUGCUGCCCAACCUUUUCCCUCAAUAUUUCCAUUUACUGGGGGAUAAUGCUUCUGGAUUGUAAUUUAUAGCACAAAUAUCCUCUUCCUUGCUCCCUGCAAAUUUGAUUUAAGGAGGGCACCCACCUUACUAAUAUUUGGAUAGUGUGAAGGCGGUCUGCAAAUUUGGAAAACGAUAUAGCCAUUACCAGGCAGCCAGCGUGCCCCUCCCGAUGCAUUGUGGGUCAGCGAGAGCACGGUGUUUUGUAACCAUGGAAACAAACUGAGUUUGAGAAGCCUGAGCAUCCAGUUUACCCUUCAAAGAUGAAGGACACCCCACUGGUGGAUCCCCAGGGAAGAGUCUGCUGUCCUCAGCACCUGCCCCUUUGCGGUCUCCCUACCAUUGGAAAAGACGUCCCCUAACCUGGGCAUCUCAAGCCAGCCGCCACAUCGUCAAAACGGUAUCACAAGAAAUGGGAAACAGCCAGCCGGAACGUCUGUCUCCAAAUCAGAGGAACCACCGACUUGGCUCCAUACUAAAUCCCCGAACCGGGAGCAUCCGCGAGCAUCCAUCAGAGUUUCAGGAGUGGGAAGCACAACUACAAUAAAAGAAGAAAACACGAGGGGCUCUGGAUGGCUUUUGGAUGCACCACGGGCCAGGCUAUAGUCCCCAGUUACUCAAGCCUGGACAGGUGCUCCUGGGGAGAGGCCCCAAGGAGGUGAAGGUAGCCCCUGCUGGCUGGGGUGAGGACAGUUAUCUUCAAUGACGCGGGUGAGCCUGAGGAAGGCGGAGGAGAGAGGAAAUUCUGCCCGGGCCUUGGAGCCUUGUCCUUCGGUGACAGACGCUGUACUUACUGUUCUUUGGGGACAGAUGGGUACCUGAUUCCUUCAAUGGGUAAUAUUCCAGUGUGUGAAUAUACCACAUUUUAGUCAUGUAGUCUACAGGCGGUGGACAUUUGGGCGCUUCCGACUGGGGCUGCCGUGAAGAAGACCACCAGCCUUUGCCUGGACGUGCGUGCAGUUCCCCCAGGCAUUUAUCUAGGAGCCGGAUGGAGUGUUUGACUUCUUGAGUUUCCUUAAGGGAAGGAACUGCGUCUCUUCCUUCGGUAUUCCCAGCACCUGGAAAAGCCCCACGUAAAAUAAACAUGGUAUUGAA